AGGUUGUGAGUAGAAUUCCUUUCCUUGUAGCUGUAUGAGUGAGGGCCCCAGCCUCUGUCAACUAGAGGUGGCCCCGAGGUCCUAGAGGCCACCCACAGUUCCCUGUCACGUGGCCUUCGCCAUAGGCAAGUCACAGCCUGGUGCUUGCUCCUGUAAGGCCAUCGGGAGCCUCUCUUGCUCCACUUGGCUAAGCCAGAAUCAUCUAUUAGACAUCUGUCAUCCAUCCAUCAUCUUUGCAUUUUCAGUGGAUUGGAAGCACGUCACAGAUUCUGCCCACGCUCAAGGGGACAGAGUUAUGCAAGGACACGACUCAUUGGAGGUCACUGUAGGGUGGUGUGUCAACCGCCACUGCCCAUCGUCCUGCCUGGGUUUGUAUCUUCCCUCCUCCACUAACACGUUAGGUGGUCUUAAGUGAGUUGCUUAGCCUUCAGCCCCAGACCCCUUAUUUGUAAAAUGGGGGCAAAACCCAUAGGAUGCUUGGGAAGAUCAAAUAAAAUAUUCCAUCUCAAGUAUUUCGCAGAGUGCCUGGCACAUCAUAAACACUUAGAUGUGAAGCUACGAUGAUGGUAGUGGUGAUUAAUAUUAAUAUUAUUGGCACUGUGAGACUCCCAGAUCUGUCUUGGGUCUUAAGAAGCAGAAAUGCAACUCAGGCUGUGGCUACCUGCCUCCUGGUUACAAAACCCUCUGUGAAGGCCAGAGCCACAUCAUGGGCUGCUCCAGAAAUUUCAAGAGAGAUCAGUUUCAAGCUUGGCUGGGAGCUGGGGCGUCAUGGGAUCCCAGCAACAGUGGCAGCCUCCCAGCCACUGGAACUCUGUAAAGUGAUGAGCAUGCUCAGAAGAUGCAAGAGCUUUGGCAAGAGGGUCUCCUCAUCUGCUGUGAGCCCCCCCCCCCGGGCAACUGAGAUCAAGGGGUGGGUGGCUCCUCUGCUCCCCGUGCCACAGGCCAUGUUGAACAUCUCUCUUGGUUGGUGUGACUGGCACCUCACCCACAGAGAGCUCUCCUGUAUCCUAGCCAUCCUGUAUCUCUAACUCUAUUACCUGCUCACACGGAAGAACAAGAGCCGUGGUUUCGUAUCACCAAGAAUCUCAUACUUCCAUGAGAAGAAUUUUUUUUUUAGCCACACUUGCAGCGUGCGUUACAGCGAGGGAUCCAAUCUGUGCCACAGCAGAGACCCGACCCAAAGCAGGGACAAAGCAGGGACAAUGCCAGAUCCUUAACCCAAUGGGGAACUUCCAAGAAUCCUUUUUUUUUUUUUUGGCUUUUCAGGGCCAUAGCCUGUGGCAAUGCAGGACUCUUAACUCACUGAGUGAGGCCAGGGAUUGAACCUGCAUCCUCAUGGAUACUAGUUGGGUUUGUAACCUGCCGAGCCACAUCGGGAACGCCUUAAGGAUUUUUAAAUAUCAAGUAAAAUACACACUCAGCUCCAGCAUCACUGCAACAACCACCAAACACAUAAUCAUCAAACACACAAGCUAAAGAGAAGAGCAGCUACAGUAACUCACACCAAAAAUAACAACAACCCACAGUGAAUGUCUCAAGGUUAACCAUACCGUGAUCUGGACAUUGGCUCCUGGAGGGAUAUACUCUCCUGGCCUGGUUCCUUCCUGAGUGAUGCCUCAUGGGAACUCAGUUGUUCUGGUGAUGCAGUUGUGUGGUCCCUCAUUUGCACAGUGUUCUGAAGGAUGUCGGAGACCUAACCCAACAUUAGCCUCUCCACCCUGAGGAGUUCCUGUGCGAGGAACACAUCCUGGGCACUCUGUACCUCUGAAUUCUGAACGGGACACUUUGGAAAAUGUGGAGUUAUUUAUUUCUAAGGGAGGUAAAAAUAUUUUAAAAAUUAUUUUCAUUUUUCGAACAGCUGCACCACUACUGGAACUUGAAGGGGUGGCUAUUUUGAGAUUCAUAAGCUUGGGGGGAAAAAAUCUUUAUUUCAAAGAAGGAAAUCAUCUUUCAAUAUGAUCAGGAGAAUUGGAUGGGAGAUAGGCAUCAGUUCUUCUAGAAUCCGUAGGCAGUUCUAUUGUGCGAAGGGUCAAGGGUCUUUCGUCUACUUAGCUUUCCAUUUGGGGAAAUUUCCUCCAGAGGAUUUUCUUUAGAUCCUUAAAGCUCUGUGUUUGUGAGGCGUGGCAUCAUAUGGCAAAUAAGCCAGGAUAUGCAGAUGAGGGUUGAAGCCUGGGUUUCUGACUGGAGAACUCAUUUCUCCUUUUUUUUUUUUUUUUUGUCUUUUGUCUUUUUAGGGCCCACCUGAGGCAUAUGGAGGUUCCCAGGCUAGGGGUCUAAUUGGAGCUGUGGCUGCCGGCCUGCACCACAGCCACAGCAAUGCCAGAUCCUAGCCGUGUCUGCAAACUACACCACAGCUCACUGCAACACCAGAUCCUUAACCCACUGAGCGAGGCCAGGGAUCGAACCCGCAACCUCAUGGUUCCUAGUGGGAUUCGUUUCCGCUGCGCCAUGACGACUCCCCUUUCUCCUUCUUUCAUUCUUUUGUUUAACAAAUGCUAUGGGCACAUCCCCUGCUGCCCUUUGGGGAGAAAACCGCAAAGCCAGGUGGAGGUAAAGCUGGCUUCUGUUCUUUCUGUUCACUCUCAGAGGACCUAGAGUCGUGAUCCCCAGGAUGGUGUGACAAGAGGUAAACCUGGCGUGCCGCAGAGCCCUGCGCAAGCACAGAGAAGGAGGGACACCCGGCCCAGCUUGGAAGAAGGACAAAGUAAGGCUUUCUGCAGAAAAUAAAGUCGGAAGGUCAGAGGCAUGGGGUGGGUGGGGGGGAGGGUGGAGUCUGAGGCAGUGUUUCCUGGUGGAAGGAACUAAGUGCAAAGUCUCUUAAGCAAGACAGGUGGGAACUAGAGAAGUUCUGGGGAGCUGGAGAGCAGAGGAGGGAGUGGCGAGGGAAUCCUCUGGAGGGGUCCCUGGGGGCCACCUCACAGCCCUUUCUUGGAAAGCCGCCCCCAUCCGCUGCCUCUGAAUAGCCAUCAGAAAACUAAGGCCAACUGGAGUUCCCGUCGUGGCGCAGCAGAAACAAAUCUGACUAGGAACCAUGGGGUUGUGGGUUCGAUCCUUGGCCUCAAUCAGUGGGUUAUGGAUCUGGCAUUGCCGUGAGUUGUGGUGUAGGUCGCAGAUGCAGCUCAGAUCUGAUGUUGCUGUGGCUGUGGGGUAGGCCAGCAGCUAUAGCUCCAAUUAGACCCCUAGCCUAGGGAUCUCCAUAUGCCAUGGGUGAGGCCCUAAAAAGACAAAAGACAAAAACAAACAAACAAACAAACAAAAAACAAAACUAAGGCAAACUGGCAACCAGAAAGAGCCUGGAUUGAGAGUUAAAUUUUUAUUUAUAUUUAUUUAUUUACUUUUCAUGGCUGCACCCAGAGUGCAUGGAAUUUCCUGGGGCAGGGUUUGAACCCGAGUUGCAGCUAUGACCCCAUGCCCCAGCUCUGGUAAUGCCGGAUCCCCAACCCAGUGCACCACGCCAGGGAUCGAACCCUCACCACCAGGGACAAUACUGGAUCCUUAACCUACUACACCUCCAAGGGUCAAGGUUUUAAAGUUCAGUUUUGAAAGAGAAAGUUCCUUUAUUUUUACAUCAUCAAGCUUUAAUUUUUUUUUAACUUUUCGUCUGCGCCCAAGGCAUGGGGAAGUUUCUGGGCCAGGUGAUGGAAGCCAUGCCACAGCACUGACAACUCUGGAUCCUUAACCCACUAGGUCACCAGGGAACUCCCUGGCUUUAAAUGAAAACUACAUGAAUGAAAAAGAGAAAGUGCUCCAUCCUCUGCUAAUCCUAUUCUCCAGCAGAAAUCCCAGAUAGCAAUUGAUUGUCUUUUCCAAACUUUUUUCUUUUUUCUUUUUUUUUUUUUGUCUUUUGUUUUUUUUAAGGCUGCACCAGAAGCAUAUGGAGGUUCCCAGGCUAGGGGUCGAAUCGGAGCUGUUGCUGCUGGCCUACACCACAGCAACACCAUAUCUGAGCCGUGUCUUUGACCUACACCACAGCUCACGGCAACACCAGAUCCUUAACCCAUUGAGCAAGGCCAGGGAUCAAACCCGCAACCUCAUGGUUCCUAGUCAGAUUCGCUUCUGUUGCGCCACGACAGAAACUCCCUAACAGACUUUUUUCUAUGCACAUACUGACAUAUAUCUGUAUAUCAUUGUUGCUGUUAUUGAUUAUCAUAUAAACAUUAUUGGAGCUCUCUUAGUGGCUCAGUGGGUUAAGAACCCAACAUAGUGUCCGUGAGGAUGUGAAUUCAAACCCUGGCCUUGUUCAGUGGAUUAAGGACCCAGGAUUGCUGUGAGCUUUGUGCAGGUCACAGAUGCAGCUUGGAUCUGGCGUUGCUGUGGCUGUGGUGUAGGCCAGCAGCUGCAGCUCCAAUUCGACCCCUAGUCUGGGAACUUCCAUAUACCACAGACGCGGC
rnacentral:lncRNA from 1 species